rnacentral:rRNA from 1 species
UACGGGGGGAGCAAGCGUUGUUCGGAUUUACUGGGCGUAAAGGGCGCGUAGGCGGUCGUGACAAGUCACUUGUGAAAUCUCCGGGCUUGACUCGGAACGGUCAAGUGAUACUGUCGGACUAGAGUACAGAAGGGGCAACUGGAAUUCUCGGUGUAGCGGUGAAAUGCGUAGAUAUCGAGAGGAACACCUGCGGCGAAGGCGGGUUGCUGGGCUGAUACUGACGCUGAGGCGCGAAAGCCAGGGGAGCGAACGGG